GCCUCUGUCGAAGCUGAUCAGCCAUGCCGCGUGCAGGAUGAAGGCCUUCGGGUUGUAAACUGCUUUUGUACGGAACGAAAAGCCUCUUUCUAAUAAAGAGGGGUCAUGACGGUACCGUAAGAAUAAGCACCGGCUAACUACGUGCCAGCAGCCGCGGUAAUAA
rnacentral:rRNA from 1 species